CGUAUGUGUUAGUGGAAGCGUCUGGAAAGUCGCACGGUACAGGGUGAUAGUCCCGUACACAAAAAUGCAUAUGUUGUGAGUUCGAUGAGUAGGGCGGGACACGUGACAUCCUGUCUGAAUAUGGGGGGACCAUCCUCCAAGGCUAAAUACUCCUGACUGACCGAUAGUGAACCAGUACCGUGAGGGAAAGGCGAAAAGAACCCCGGCGAGGGGAGUGAAAUAGAACCUGAAACCGUGUACGUACAAGCAGUGGGAGCACCUUCGUGGUGUGACUGCGUACCUUUUGUAUAAUGGGUCAGCGACUUAUAUUUUGUAGCAAGGUUAACCGAAUAGGGGAGCCGUAGGGAAACCGAGUCUUAACUGGGCGAAUAGUUGCAAGGUAUAGACCCGAAACCCGGUGAUCUAGCCAUGGGCAGGUUGAAGGUUGGGUAACACUAACUGGAGGACCGAACCGACUAAUGUUGAAAAAUUAGCGGAUGACUUGUGGCUGGGGGUGAAAGGCCAAUCAAACCGGGAGAUAGCUGGUUCUCCCCGAAAGCUAUUUAGGUAGCGCCUCGUGAACUCAUCUUCGGGGGUAGAGCACUGUUUCGGCUAGGGGGUCAUCCCGACUUACCAAACCGAUGCAAACUCCGAAUACCGAAGAAUGUUAUCACGGGAGACACACGGCGGGUGCUAACGUCCGUCGUGAAGAGGGAAACAACCCAGACCGCCAGCUAAGGUCCCAAAGUCAUGGUUAAGUGGGAAACGAUGUGGGAAGGCAUAGACAGCCAGGAUGUUGGCUUAGAAGCAGCCAUCAUUUAAAGAAAGCGUAAUAGCUCACUGGUCGAGUCGGCCUGCGCGGAAGAUGUAACGGGGCUAAACCAUG
rnacentral:rRNA from 1 species